rnacentral:rRNA from 1 species
UCGGGAAUUUUGGGCAAUGGGCGCAAGCCUGAUCCAGCCAUGCCGCGUGCAGGAAGAAGGCGUUAUGCGUUGUAAACUGCUUUUGCCAGGGGAUAAAAAGACCGUGCGCGGUUAAUUGAAGGUACCUGGUGAAUAAGCCACGGCUAACUACGUGCCAGCAGCCGCGGUAAUACGUAGGUGGCAAGCGUUGUCCGGAUUUAUUGGGUUUAAAGGGUGCGUAGGUGGCCCUGUAAGUCAGUGGUGAAAUAUCUCAGCUUAACUGAGAGGGUGCCAUUGAUACUGCAGGGCUUGAGUACAGAUGAGGUAGGCGGAAUUGACGGUGUAGCGGUGAAAUGCAUAGAUAUCGUCAAGAACACCGAUAGCGAAGGCAGCUUACCAAGCUGUAACUGACACUGAGGCACGAAAGUGUGGGGAUCAAACAGGAUUAGAUACCCCAGUAGUCCCUGAGCGGGCUGGCAAGGCGCAU